UGAGGAAUAUUGGUCAAUGGGCGAGAGCCUGAACCAGCCAAGUAGCGUGCAGGAUGACGGCCCUAUGGGUUGUAAACUGCUUUUAUAUGGGAAUAAAGUGAGGGACGUGUCCCUUAUUGCAUGUACCAUAUGAAUAAGGACCGGCUAAUUCCGUGCCAGCAGCCGCGGUAAUACGGAAGGUCCAGGCGUUAUCCGGAUUUAUUGGGUUUAAAGGGAGCGUAGGCUGUUUGUUAAGCGUGUUGUGAAAUGUAAGGGCUCAACUUUUAGAUUGCAGCGCGAACUGGCAGACUUGAGUGCGCACAACGUAGGCGGAAUUCAUGGUGUAGCGGUGAAAUGCUUAGAUAUCAUGACGAACUCCGAUUGCGAAGGCAGCUUACGGGAGCGCAACUGACGCUAAAGCUCGAAGGUGCGGGUAUCGAACAGG
rnacentral:rRNA from 1 species